ACUCUCAGCAACGGAUAUCUUGGCUCUUGCAACGAUGAAGAACGCAGCGAGAUGCGAUACGUAGUGUGAAUUGCAGAAUUCCGCGAAUCAUCGAGUCUUUGAACGCAAGUUGCGCCCGAGGCUUGUCCGAGGGCAUUUCCGCUAGAGCGUCA
rnacentral:rRNA from 1 species